UGAGGAAUAUUGGUCAAUGGCCGAGAGGCUGAACCAGCCAAGUCGCGUGAAGGACGAAGGAUCUAUGGUUUGUAAACUUCUUUUAUAGGGAGUAAAUGAUGCGGCAGCGUGUGCCGUUUGCUUAUGUACCCUAUGAAUAAGGAUCGGCUAACUCCGUGCCAGCAGCCGCGGUAAUACGGAGGAUCCGAGCGUUAUCCGGAUUUAUUGGGUUUAAAGGGAGCGUAGAUGGGUUGUUAAGUCAGUUGUGAAAGUUUGCGGCUCAACCGUAAAAUUGCAAUUGAUACUGGCGUCCUUGAGUACAGUUGAGGUGGGCGGAAUUCGUGGUGUAGCGGUGAAAUGCAUAGAUAUCACGCAGAACUCCGAUUGCGAAGGCAGCUGACUGUAUCGUAACUGACGCUGAAGCUCGAAAGUGUGGGUAUCGAACAGGAUUAGAUACC
rnacentral:rRNA from 1 species